rnacentral:pre_miRNA from 2 species
UAUGGCUUUCUAUUCCUAUGUGAUUUUGAUAUGAUGUAUCAUGUAGGGUUCAAAGCCAUUAG